UUUAGGGCAACAGAAGAAAUUGGAAAAGACAUUUGGAAAUACAAAGAGAUUUUCGAGGAUCCUGAAAUCAGGGCACAGGUGCAGCUGCCAGCCCUGCCUCCUGUUCAUGCUGGCUCUUGAGUGUCCCUGAUGGAAGAUGUUUAAGGCCAGUGCUAUGAAGAAAUUAAUAAGUUCAAAUACAGUAUCUGAGGGGGAUUGGUUCCAGAACCUCCUGCAGAUACCCAAAUCCAGAAUAGUGCAGAAAGGUGUAUACUAAACAACAUUUGGAAGAAGAAAAACCUGGCAUCAUUCUGAGAAAGUAUUUUCUCUAACUCUGAGCAUGCAGUUAAUUCUAUGGAUAAACUGAAAGGAACAGGAUGGAUAUUGGACAGCUUCCCUGCUUUUCUAGAAUCAAAUGCAAAACUAUUGUUUUAAUUCAAAUCAAUUAUCAAACUGUGCCACAUUAUUCUUCUUAUUUUUAAUCCAACGUUUAAGGAGAACCUUCUGUGAGCAAGAUCAUUCUCUGGGCAUAAGGUAUAUUCAAAGAUAACUAAGAUAGUCUCUCUCUCUCUCUCAGAGAGCUCGUAAUGUGUACAGGAAAUAAAUUACAUUUGUUGGCAAAAACCUAUAGCAUCCCAUGGAAUAAAAUGUGACACAGGCAAAUUGCAAAACUCACAGAGUUCCUGGUAGAAAGACAAGUGUUAAUGUUAAAGCUAAGAGUAUGAGCUCUAGAUUGAAAAUGGCUGCGUUCAAAUACUAACUCGGCCAACAUGUUGUUUGACUUUGGGGAAACUAUUUAACUUCUCUUGCUUUAAUUUCCUUACCUGUAAAAUUUGGGAAUAACAGUUUUACCUCAAUGGACUGGUGUGAGGAUUAAAGGAGAUGGUAAACGUAAAACUCUUCA